CGUCCAUUGCCUUCAACUAUGCCUCUAUGUGUAACCAUGUUCCUGCAGAGUCUACUUCAAUGCUUGCGCUGGAAGAGCAUCUGACCUGUACCGGACUGAGGGUGGACAGGCAGGAGAGCAAUGGAUUACCGAGCUGCAACUUAACAACAAUCCAGUAGGAUGGAGAAUCAGCGAGGACACUAGGAGCAGCGGUAUGAGGAGAGAUCUUCUAGGAAAUCAAGAGACUGGGAAACAGCCACAGAUGUAGGAACCUGACAAUGGUGACAGUAGAUCAAAUGGAGUAUCUUGAUGCCUCGGCUCAUGAGUUAAGCAAUUGAAUGGAAAGUCUGUGCUUCAGGAGGCUCCAUCUCGCCAUCCGCAGAAUCCUGGAAGCAAGGAGACAAAGGUAGGAUCAGUGAUCAAAAAACUUCACAAGGAAGUCCACAAGAUCUGGCGUGAGCAAAAAAUCUGGCCUCUCUCAGGGAUUCCUGCUCCUCUUAAGCACUUACUGAUUAGCUCAACAAGCUGCAGCUGCAGGGCCCGCCAGUCGCACCCUGCUGGAGAGGUGAGAGAAGACAACAUAGAAAACACAACACAACCCUUCACACAGUGCAGGGAGUGUAACAUGGGAGGGUUAAUACACACAUUACUUUGUGUCACCAAACAACAAUUUAAACAAUAAUGCACAUUGUAUAUUGUUAAGCUAUUAUGGAAAAAAUAAAUACAAUCUGUAAAAUCGUUGGAAAAUAUUUUAUUUUUAUGUACAUAAAUGUUCCAUUUAAAUUAUUAGCAAUACAGUUAUGUAAUGUUAUGUUUUUAAAUUUAGUAGACUAGCUACACUGUGGCUCAGCAACGCAUCGCUCACCUGCUUGUCCACCCUCAGCCUGCUGUGGGGCUCCUAUCAGUCUUGUGCUGGAGAAAGACAAAACAGAUGCUCAGCCAGCACCAGCCUCUUAGACACCCUAAACCUGUCAACUCCAGACUAAGAGAUUUACUCGCCUUCCCUGGACUUUCACCUUAAUUCACAAACAUACUGAUCCAGUGCAGAAAUCCGGAAGUCCUCCACCUGUGUUUCUUAAUAAACCAUUCUAACUGUC